UACGUAGGGUGCGAGCGUUGUCCGGAAUUACUGGGCGUAAAGAGUUCGUAGGCGGUUUGUCGCGUCGUUUGUGAAAACCCGGGGCUCAACUUCGGGCUUGCAGGCGAUACGGGCAGACUUGAGUGUUUCAGGGGAGACUGGAAUUCCUGGUGUAGCGGUGAAAUGCGCAGAUAUCAGGAGGAACACCGGUGGCGAAGGCGGGUCUCUGGGAAACAACUGACGCUGAGGAACGAAAGCGUGGGUAGCAAACAGGAUUAGAAACCCCUGUAGUCC
rnacentral:rRNA from 1 species